CAAAGUUUACAAACUACGAGAUUACAAGAGAUUUAGGAUACCAAUCCCCACAUACAUUGCUUAACCCAAAGGAUUUGUGGAUCCUACACAUCCUGACCAUGUAUAUAGACUCAACAAGGUUCUUUAUGGCCUUAAACAGGCACACAGAGCCUGGUAUGAACGGUUAACCGAGUUUCUUAUCAACAUCGUGUACAGUUGUGGAAGAGAUGAUAAGACUCUCUUUGUAAAAAAAUCUCAUGAGAAUUUUGUGGUUAUUCAAAUUUAUGUUGACGAUAUUGUUUUCAGAGGGAUGCCACAGAAGAUGGUCGAGUUCUUUGUGAGACAAAUGUAGAAAGAAUACGAUAUGAGCAUGGUAGGAGAACUACCCUAUUUUAUGAGAUUUCAAAUAAAGCAACUAAAUGAGGGAAUCCUUCUACCAAAGUAAAUAUGCCAAGAGUUUAAUGAAGAAGUUCGGCUUGGAAAGUGCUAGUGUCAAAAGAACUCCAGCUCCAACUAAUGCAAAAAUGUCAAAAGACUGAAGUGGAGCUCAAGUCGAUGAAAGCCUAUACAAAAGCAUCAUUGGAAGCUUACUCUAUUUAACAACCUCUUAUCGUGCUGUGAUUCAUGGACAGCCCUUGGAAAAACCCUUCAUACUUCAAGCCUCGAACGAGUUGAAGUUCUGCCCUAUUUAUGCCAUCAAUGAUCUCUGUUUUCCUCAACUUGACUGGGCUGCGAUGGUGGUGAUACAGAGGUCACAUUACCAUGAUUGAUGGACAGAAAUUUGUGCUUCCAUACAAACAAGCCUCUCGAUUCAUUGCUUUAUCAAUCCCUUCUUACCGGAUAAGGCCUUGCCAUGUCUAUGACCAGCAAAUCUCAUCUAAACUCUGUGAACUCACUGAUAGCCAAACGUUUGGGAUUUUUAGAGUUAAAUUCCAGGGGACUGAAAUUUUUUCAUCCUUCCAAAGUUUCUCGACUCCCUCCUAUUGUGGAUGGAUUGAGAUUUUCAACUUACCUCCUAUUCUUGGAGCGACAAAACUCGUACUAGACGAACAGGGGAAUAAAUUUUUUGGUGGCAAAGGUGAAGGUCCAAUCAAAUGAGGUAAGUUUCAUCCCUAAUUGUCUUACCCUGCUUGUCGACCUUGCUGGAAUUCCAUGGACAAUUCAGAUCACGGGUACCGACGCUGGAAGACGCCAUAGCCAUCGGCCUGAAAAUCUGCCCACUGAAUCUUUGAAAAUCAAGGAAUCAUUAUUGCCGCAAUUUUCAAAUAAAUGUAAAUCUCCAGCCAUUUCCAUAAAUGUAAUUGUCGGUUCCUCUCAAUUUCCAUCUUCGCAGCCAUCUUCUAUCACUCCAAAAUUGGUGGAGCAAAAUAACUAGAAGUAUCUCUCCUCUAAAUUAAGUAUACCAAAUCAGUUGGCCCACCAACCCCUCAUUUCAAACAAUUUGGCUGCCACAUCAUCCUCCCCCUUUAACUUUCCCAAUUUUAAUCAAUGGGCCCACCAAUUCCCCAUCAUCACAGCCGUGACUUUCCAAGAUCGACCCACCACCCUUACAGAUGGAAAUAAAUUAUUUACUAAUCCACAAAGCUUAAACUUACCCAAUAUGGGUUCAGAAACUGAAGCGCGAAGCCUAUUUAACCAGCCCACUUUCACCAAAUAAAGACUUCAAUUCUUACCCAUUGGACCCUGGUGUUUUCGGAGACAAUCCUGAUCAGUCCCACCAACGACCAUUAUCCAGUCUUCCCCCACCGUCGGAGGACUUGAACAACCAUCAAAAUCUACCGCUGAGAAACGAAAUAAACUACAAAGCGAGCUCCAAAAUCUCCAUUCCUCAAUACAUUAUGACAAAUCGACCACCUUGGCCAUUAUGGAGGGCACAGAUAUUGAUCAACGAAAAUUAUAUCAUGGAAUGUUUGGGGCUUGAAACCCUAAGAUUGUUCUGAUGUGGAUUUUUUUAUGAUUAAGUCCAUCUGGAGUUCUUUUUUCAUUGGUUGGGCUGCUCUUGAUAUCACUGACUCAUCAGGAGGAGCUUGAUUAUCUUGCUGGCUUGGGUGGUGACAGGUGGAUUGUUGGUGGUGAUUUUAAUGUGACCCGAUGGUCUUGGGAAAAACCUCAUGACCAUUACAUAUCUUCUAGUAUGUGGGCUUUUAAUAGUUGGAUCUCUAAUUAUCAGUCACAUGAUCUACCUCUGACAAAUGGGAAUUUUACUCGGUCAAGCUAUGGCAGUCCUUUUUAUCUUUCUAUACUGCACAGGCUUUUGAGUAUUGAUACUUACCAUGACAAGUUUCGGCCCUUGGUUGAGGAUUGGUGGAACAGAAACCCCAUCUCUAGAUUACCUAGAGACAAAACCAAGAUAGCAUUGCAAUGAAGCUCCCAUCUCUUAUAUCCCAACUCAGUCAACUUGAUAAAUUGGAAGAUGAUAGACCGCUUACUAAUGAAUAGAUCUCUUUUCAUCGCCCUCUUUGAGAACAAAUUGAAUGUUUAACUGAAUAGGAACAUAUUUAUUGGUGGCAGUGGCAGAGGUGUAAGCUUAAAUGGCUUCAUGAAGGUGACGAAAAUACUCAUUUUUUCCAUCGUAUUGUUGUUGCUCAUAAACGUAAGAGCUCGGUCACUAAAAUUCUCUCCCGAGAUGGUCAUAGUCUUGUAAUGGCCAAUGAUAUUGAGAUUGAAUUCCUUGAUUGCUCUUCACUAGGGAUGGGGUCAAACCGGGAAAAUUUUUCGGAGCCCCAUCCGAGGACGGGGUGGGGACGGAGAUGGUAUCCCGGACCUCAAUUAAUCCCCAACCCCAUUUGAUAUAUUUAUAUUUUUAAUAUUUUAUAAAUAUAUAUUUAUAAUAUAUAAAAUAAUUUAUUUAUAUGUAUGUUUAUAAUUUAUAGAUAGUGUUGUGAGUCCAAUAUUCAAUAUAUAAAUUCUAAAUCUAAGCCAAAAAUCAAGUUCAAAUUUAAAAAAUUAAAAGAAAAAAAAACCCUAAAUUUUGAAAACACAAACAUUGUGUUGCCAACUUGUCGUUCGGUGCGUUGGAUGAGCGUGCGUCUCAGCGCCUGCCAUCUGUCGUGAGCAUUGGUCCGUUUGAUUUCGAGUUCGUCUGUCUGCAUUCGACUUCAUUCAGUCCGUUCGUGAGUGUGAAGUUCAAGCGUCCGUUCGUGACCGUGAAGUUCAGGCGUCCGUUCGAGUUCGACUUCAAGUUCAUUCAAGCGUUCGUCCAUUCGAUUUCGAGUUCGUUCUUCCGAGUUCGAGUUAUUCCAAAUUCGUUCAGUUCGAGUUUGAGUUCAUGAAGACCUUUCAGGCGUCCGUUCGAGUUGGAGUCGCUGCCAAGCUCGCCAUUCAACUUCCGAGAGAGGAGAUCUGGAAAGAAAUUGAAUGGUGUCAAGUAUCCCAUUUUACAAGAAAUUGCAAAAGACAUAUUAGCCAUUCCGUUAUCUGAGUACCUGUGGUAGGAUUGUAAGCCCACAUCAUAACAAACUUCAUCCAAAGACGAUAGAGGCUUUAAUGUGCGCUCAAAAUUGGAUUGCAACCGAAGAUUUAACAGGUACUAACACGGGAAAAGAAAUGGUUAAACAUUUAGCAACUGUUUUAGAAGACGCUGACGAUUCUGAUGAAGAUGGCGUGGUGACUAAGGUAUGCUCAAGGAUUAACAUUAUUUUCUUAUGACACUUUUUAUUUUUUGUGGUCUAGCUCACUGAGAAAGAGGUACACAGGGCUAUCUCCUCUUUGGGUUCUAGUAAAUCUCCUGAUCUUGAUGGAUAUACUGUGAAGUUCUUUAAAUCGUUAUGGCCUAUUCUUAAAGGUGACAUUAUGUAUAUGACAAAUGAUAUUUUUAACUCUAGUAUUAUUAAUGCUUCGCUUAAUGGGACCUUCAUUUACCUUAUUCCGAAGAAAAUUGAUUCAAAAUUGGUAUCUGAUUAUCGACCUAUUAGUCUUAUUCCAUGCGCAUAUAAGAUCUUAGCCAGAGUUUUAUCAAACCAUUUGAAGAAUAUCCUUCCGUCCACCAUUAUUAUUAAUCAAUUGGCUUUUGUGGCUAAUAGACAACAUCUUUUUUGGCGAAUGAGUUGGUUGAUGACUGGUUUCAGAAUGAUAAAGUUAGGGUAGUUCUUAAACUAGAUCUUGCAAAGGCUUUUGACAUUGUUGACUGGUAUUUUUUGGAUGCUAUUUUAUAGAUUAAAGGUUUUGGUCCUAUUUGGCCAUCUUGGAUAUAUGGUUGUAUUUCUAGUGCAAAUUUUUCGAUUAUCAUCAAUGGACGACUUAGGGGUAAGAUCAUCCCAUCCCGUGGAAUUCGACAGGGGAUCCUCUUUCACCAUUCUUAUUUGUUCUUGUUGCUAAUUGUUUGAGUCGCGUUAUGAAUUAUAGCUCUUCGUUGGGCCUCCUUACUACUCACUUUAUUGGUAGAUCAUCUUUUAUUUUGAAUCAAUUGCAAUUUGCUUAUGAUACAUUGCUUUUUUCCACUGCUGAUUGUGUUGCUUUAUAACAUCUCUUUGAUGUGGUUUGAAUUUUUGAAAGGGCUUCCGGUCUGGCUAUUAAUUUUUCAAAGAGUGAAAUUUUGGGGAUACAUAUCAAUGAUGCUGAUUUGACAUGGUUGUUGAAUACCUUUGGCUAUAAGCUUGGUAUUUGGCCUUCUACGUAUCUUGGUUUGCUUUCAGAGGGGGGACUCGCAUUCUAUUCACUUUUGGCAACCGAUUGUUAAAUGGAUUCAACACAAAUUGCAUAGUUGGAAAUAUGCUUACAUCUCUAAGGGAGGCCGCCUGGAUAUAUCCAACAUUCUUACAUACUACCUACCUCUCUUUCAUGUCCCGCAUGAUGUCAUCAAUAUUCUGGAAAAUUUAUUCUUGAUUUAUUGUGGGAAAGGAUCUCAGGGAGAUGGUGGUAUGCAUAAUGUCAAAUGGGAGGCUAUUCAGAGGCUUAGAUUGAUGGGUGGUUUGGGUGUUGGAAAUUUCGGUUGCAUAAUUCUGCUUUGUUAGCAAAGUGGAUUUAGUGUUUUCUUCAUGAGCCUAAUGCUUUGUUGCAAGGUUUUAUUGUGGCUAAACAUUACUCCCCCUUUUGUAUCUCUGGCCUUCUACUGUUCGAGGCGGAUCCACACGUUCUCCUUAGAAGUUUAAUUCACAGACUCUUGGAUUGAUUUCCUCUCGAACUCGAAAUUGUCUUGGUGAUGGUACCUCUAUCUCUUUCUAGAAAGAUCCCUGGCUAGAUUGUGGUAUUCUCUGUAAUAUUUUUCCUCGAUUAUUUCGUCUUGCGUUUUCAACCUGAUUUUAAGGUGGCUAAUGUCUGAGUCAUUGAAUUUGAAGCUUGGAAAUUAGAUCUUCGUCAUAAUCUUAAUGAUCUGGAGACUAAUGAGUGGGCUUCUUUGCCUCAUAUUUUAUCAUCAAUCAAGUUGCGUCCUAUUCCUGAUUCAUGGUCCUGGUCUUUGGACUCUUCUCCGUCUUUCUCUGUCAAAUUUCUAUUAAAUGAUUUUGUCGAAGUGGUUGAAACUGUCCAGGACCUCUACUUAGUUGGAAAGAUUUUUAUCCUAAGAAGAUUAAGCUCUUCCUUUGGGAGCUUAGUCUUGGCGCUAUCAGUACUGUGGAUCGUUUAUAUGUCCAUACAUGUCCCUUUCUCCUUCUUGGUGUAUCAUGUGUCGGUGAGAUGGGGAAUCUCCUACUCACCUGUUUGUGCAUUGCCCUUUUGCUUCUCGUUUUCGGCACAUUGUUUUGGAUGCUUUUGGCUGGUCUCUGAUCGGAACUAACAAUAUCUUUGAUAUUUUGGCAUUCCUUCUGUUGGGACAUCCAUUUGGUGGUACUAAACGAUUGAUUUGGAUGGCAAUUACUCGUGCAUUUUUUUGGAUCCUUUGGAAUUCGAGUACUACAUACAUUUUGGAGUAUUAUGGACCAUUCGGGGAUGAUUUGGAACUAUUAGGAGUUUAACAAAGCAUCUGAGGCUUCAAGGGACUCAAAAUGAGGAAAAUACCUCCAAAGGUCCUAGCAUCGUGUGGCACUAGGAGAAGCGUGAAACCCAGAAGGAAAAAAAAGAAAAAAAAAAUAGGACAACAUCGCGAAUACUGCCUUGUGGCACCACAACGUUGUCUGAAGUCCCAACAGAUGUGUGCGCACUGCAGAAACUCACCCAACCCAUAGAACUACAUCGCCGCAAUGCUCUCGAUGGGGCUUAUACCUCAUUUUUCAUUCUACAAUUGAAGGAGAUUGUCCGUUCUUUUCAGUAUUUCCUUAGUUUUAGAUUGUAUGUCAGCUCAUAUUGACGAGUCUUGAUUACUUCCUUGCGGUCUGUAUUCUUUGCUGGUUAUGUUUUUAGUGUAAGGAAUUUUGGAUGAACCCACUUGUAAUUAUGUGAGAAUUCCAAGUUUAGUGCAUAUUUCUAUCCCUCAACA